ensembl:lncRNA
AGGUUUUUAUUCGGUCUCUAACAGCAGCCAUCAAACUGCUUGCUCACUGACAGAUGGCACCGGGGGCCUGCAGGUCUCCCCCUCUGCUCAGGGCAUGGCUGAGGUCUACUAAGAUAGGAGGCCUCUCCUUGCCCCAGCAUAUCCAUGCAGACAGUUGUGACCCCCUCAGUACGGAAUCCACUACUGGCUCACUAAUUAUCAUAAUAAAGGCUGCCUUUUUCAGCAGCACGAAGAGGGGAGGAGCACAGGCCAACGCCACUCUCCUUUGUUUCUCCCUUGUGAUGUGCGUUACUGUGGAUUAAACUCACAUUUUAGGAUCCCAAACCAGGGACAAUUCAGCUACCUCUCACUGUAGAUGUGUGCCUUAGAACUGAAAGAAGCAGGAGGCUUGCUUUGUGUACUUAUCUCCUGAAACCUGUGGACACAGCAGUGUCUGUUUUCAAUGGCAGUGGAAAUUCCAGUAUCAGAAGCUUAACUACAAAUCCCAUACUACAUCAUUCGAAUGCUGCCUGUUUUCAGUACAACCUAAUGAUGGCCCAGGAGUGAUAAAGCACAGGUUCUCUGUAGACAAAAACAAAAAGAAGCAAAAAGAAUGGGCCCACAGUAACCUUCUGCCUUUGCCUCCUGCCCUUUGCCAAAGGCAACUGGAGCAGGGGUGGUCUUUGGGCUGCUGUCCCAGAUGGAAUGGGGGAAAGAGAGGCGCUGCCUGUCCUUGUCAGGGAUGGAAAAGGCCCCCACUCCUAUUCUUAUGAACAUCUGUCAUAUUCCAUCUCAUUGGGCUAGCACAUUUCUAUUUAAAUUACCUCUACUGCUUACCUACGGAGGCUGUGAGUGGUGAUUGGUAAUGGAUGGUUUGGGAACGUUGGUGUAGAUGUC